rnacentral:rRNA from 1 species
GUGCCAGCCGCCGCGGUAAGACGGAGGGGGCAAGCGUUGUCCGGACUCAUUGGGCGUAAAGGGCGCGUAGGCGGCCUGACACGUUCGCGGUGAAAGCGCCCGGCUUAACCGGGCGAGGUCUGCGAAUACGGGCAGGCUGGAGGCAUCCAGAGGUCGGUGGAAUUCCCGGUGUAGUGGUGAAAUGCGUAGAGCUCGGGAGGAACACCAGUGGCGAAGGCGGCCGACUGGGGAUGUACUGACGCUGAGGCGCGACAGCGUGGGGAGCGAACCGAAUUAGAAACCCUGGUAGUCC